CCUACGGGCGGCAGCAGUGAGGAAUAUUGGUCAAUGGUCGGGAGACUGAACCAGCCAAGCCGCGUGAGGGAUGAAGGUACAGAGUAUCGUAAACCUCUUUUGUCAGGGAACAAAUGCGGGGACGUGUCCCCGGAUGAGUGUACCUGAAGAAAAAGCAUCGGCUAACUCCGGGCCAGCAGCCGCGGUAAUACGGGGGAUGCGAGGGUUAUCCGGAUUUAUGGGGUUUAAAGGGUGCGCAGGCGGUCUGUUAAGUCAGCGGUCAAAGACCGGGGCUCAACCCCGGCCCGCCGUUGAAACUGGCAGUCUCGAGUUGGCGAGAAGUAUGCGGAAUGCGCGGUGUAGCGGUGAAAUGCAUAGAUAUCGCGCAGAACUCCGAUUGCGAAGGCAGCAUGCCGGCUCCACACUGACGCUGAGGCACGAAAGCGUGGGUAUCGAACAGGAUUAGAUACCCUUGUAGUC
rnacentral:rRNA from 1 species